rnacentral:rRNA from 1 species
UGGGCAACCUGCCCCAGACACUGGGAUAACCCCGGGAAACCGGGGCUAAUACCGGAUACUCCGAUCGAACCGCAUGGCUCGAUCGGGAAAGCUCCGACGGUCUGGGAUGGGCCCGCGGCCUAUCAGCUCGUUGGUGGGGUAACGGCCUACCAAGGCGACGACGGGUAGCUGGUCUGAGAGGACGACCAGCCACACUGGAACUGAGAUACGGUCCAGACUCCUACGGGAG